rnacentral:tRNA from 1 species
CCCGGUCUUGUAAACCGGAAAAGGAGAAUUAAAUUUCCCCCAAAGACU